GUAUAACAGUAACCAUCUAUUAAAAUUACUUGUUGAAGAUUUAACUACCAAACCUAGCAAACUCAGAGUAGUGUCACAAUUGAAAAACUCUGAUUAUUCAAAUAAUCUAAUGCUAGAAUAUUAACAGAAAAAGCAGUAAUAUGAUCCUAAGCAAAAUGUUCAAGUGUAACCUAUUGAGUUUAUUAGAUGAAGAGAAAAAAAAUAGUAAGACAGGUUAUGUCUAUGACUUCAUUUAGGAAGCUGUAAGAGGGCUAAAGUAAGGCUCUUAGAUCGCAUUCAAUCUAAGAUUGCUGUUAUUGACAAUCUUCCAUGACAUAUUGAGUAAAAGUUUCUGCACGAAUUGUUUGCAGAAGAUACUUAGCACGUAUCUUCGUUGAAGGUGCAUAAGAUAAAUGUUAGGUUAAUCCACAAAUAAGAAACUUUAACUUAUUUACCUAAGCUUCUUACUAAUCUGAAUUUCAGCUCAAUUGAGAUCCAAAAUUUAUUCCUACAAAAUUCUGAACUUGUCUUGUAAGAUCAUCAUGGCAACAACAGUCAUCUUGUUUUUGCAGGCUCUGACAUGAGUAAGAUCCUCAUGGCAACAGCAAUUUCAAGAAUUGAACUCACAGAUCAAAGUAGAGCUUCCCUUGGUGAAGAUGGGGCAAUUGAACCCCUAGUCAAACUGUUUAAAGCUGGAAAGCUUGAAGCCAAGUUAUCUGCGUUAAAUGCAUUGCAAAAUUUAUCAA
rnacentral:misc_RNA from 1 species